rnacentral:tRNA from 1 species
GGGAAUGUGGCUCAGUGGUAGAGUGCUUGCCUAGUAUGCAUGAAGUCCUGGGUUCGAUUCCUCAGUACCA